UACGUAGGGUGCAAGCGUUUAUCCGGAAUUACUGGGCGUAAAGCGUGCGUAGACGGCUAUCUAAGUCGGGUGUGAAAGCCCCGGGCUCACCUGGGAAUUGCAUUCGAGACUGAAUAGCUAGGGUACGGGUAGAGGGAAGCGGAAUUUCCGGUGUAGCGGUGAAAUGCGUAGAUAUCGGGAGGAACACCAGUGGCGAAGGCGGCUUCUGGUCCU
rnacentral:rRNA from 1 species